GUGGGUAUAGCUCAGUUGGUUAGAGCGCCAGAUUGUGGCUCUGGAGGUCGUGGGUUCGAAUCCCACUAUUCACC
rnacentral:tRNA from 1 species